rnacentral:rRNA from 1 species
GAUGAACGCUGGCGGCGUGCCUAAUACAUGCAAGUCGAGCGAAUGGAUUAAGAGCUUGCUCUUAUGAAGUUAGCGGCGGACGGGUGAGUAACACGUGGGUAACCUGCCCAUAAGACUAGGAUAACGCCGGGAAACCGGGGCUAAUACCGGAUAAUAUUUUGAACUGCAUGGUUACAAAUUGAAAGGCGGCCUCGGUUUCAACGUAUGGAUGGACCCGCGUCGCAUUAGCUAAUUGGUGAGGUGACGGCUCAACAAGGCAACGAUGCGUAGCCGACCUGAGAGGGUGAUCGGCCACACUGGGACUGAGACACGGCCCAGACUCCUGCGGGAGGCAGCAGUAGGGAAUCUUCCGCAAUGGACGAAAGUCUGACGGAGCAACGCCGCGUGAGUGAUGAAGGCUUUCGGGUCGUAAAACUCUGUUGUUAGGGAAGAACAAGUGCUAGUUGAAUAAGCUGGCACCUUGACGGUACCUAACCAGAAAGCCACGGCUAACUACGUGCCAGCAGCCGCGGUAA